GUCUUACAGAAGUAUUAUUGUGAUGUUUGAGUAAAACUAUCAUUCCAGUUGAAAAGCCGACAGCUAAAGGAAACACUUAACACCACACUGCGUGUGUAACAUUAUGUUUGAGCUCUUUUAAGGCUCCUCCUCCUUUACAGGCAACAGAUGAAAGUGAAACUAUUACAGCAGCAGACAUUUUACUGGGAGAAAAAUAUCUGUUUUUAUUAAAGAUAAGAAGAAUACCGAACAAUGAGUCUCUACAGAAUGCUUAAAAGUUUGACUGGUGGAGGAUCUCCUGAAUCCAGCUGUGUGUCCAUGAGGAGUGAUGGAUCAAUGGGUGACCCACCUAACUUCAGUUCAGGAGACUGUUGUGAUGCAGAUGUGAGAAACACAACAGAUGGAUCAAAGGACUCAAUUUUUCAGG